UUCUUGGUCCAUUUUAAAAGAAGUAAAAGUCGUAACAAGGUCUCCGUAGGUGAACCUGCGGAGGGAUCAUUACACAAUAUGAAAGCGGGUUGGGACCUCACCUCGGUGAGGGCUCCAGCUUGUCUGAAUUAUUCACCCAUGUCUUUUGCGCACUUCUUGUUUCCUGGGCGGGUUCGCCCGCCACCAGGACCAAACCAUAAACCUUUUUGUAAUUGCAAUCAGCGUCAGUAAACAAUGUAAUUAUUACAACUUUCAACAACGGAUCUCUUGGUUCUGGCAUCGAUGAAGAACGCAGCGAAAUGCGAUACGUAGUGUGAAUUGCAGAAUUCAGUGAAUCAUCGAAUCUUUGAACGCACAUUGCGCCCUUUGGUAUUCCAAAGGGCAUGCCUGUUCGAGCGUCAUUUGUACCCUCAAGCUUUGCUUGGUGUUGGGCGUCUUUGUCUCUCACGAGACUCGCCUUAAAAUGAUUGGCAGCCGACCUACUGGUUUCGGAGCGCAGCACAAUUCUUGCACUUUGAAUCAGCCUUGGUUGAGCAUCCAUCAAGACCACAUUUUUUUCAACUUUUGACCUCGGAUCAGGUAGGGAUACCCGCUGAACUUAAGCAUACAAUUUAAGCGGAAGAAAAA
rnacentral:rRNA from 1 species